rnacentral:lncRNA from 1 species
AACAUGCACAUGAUUAAGCAGGCUCUUCCCCAGUACGUGUUUUCUGAGCCAUGCAUACCCUCUCCUUGGCCUUAGGUUUACUCUCAAGUGUUCCCUCUAUUCUCAUGCGUCCCACUUUGGGUCUGUACAAUCAUCUCUCAGAACUACUGCAUCUUGGUUUUCUUUUCUUUGUUGUCAUUAUUAUUAUUUUUCAGAACUAAGGGGAAAAGAAAUGGGGACAGGUUGGAGGCUGUUUCCAGUGGAUAGUGGGUGCACAUUUGAUCAAAUGAAGGCAUGGACAGAUGGACUGACCGGGCGGGAGGCAGCAUCCCUUUCACACUGUGGUGUCUCUUGGGGGAAGGAUCUCCCUGAAUCUCAAUAAAGCAGUUAACAGUGUGACUC